UUGAACGCUGGCGGCAGGCCUAACACAUGCAAGUCGCACGGUAACAGGAAGCAGCUUGCUGCUUCGCUGACGAGUGGCGGACGGGUGAGUAAUGUCUGGGAAGCUGCCUGAUGGAGGGGGAUAACUACUGGAAACGGUAGCUAAUACCGCAUAAUGUCGCAAGACCAAAGAGGGGGACCUUCGGGCCUCUUGCCAUCGGAUGUGCCCAGAUGGGAUUAGCUUGUUGGUGGGGUAACGGCUCACCAAGGCGACGAUCCCUAGCUGGUCUGAGAGGAUGACCAGCCACACUGGAACUGAGACACGGUCCAGACUCCUACGGGAGGCAGCAGUGGGGAAUAUUGCACAAUGGGCGCAAGCCUGAUGCAGCCAUGCCGCGUGUAUGAAGAAGGCCUUCGGGUUGUAAAGUACUUUCAGCGGGGAGGAAGGGAGUAAAGUUAAUACCUUUGCUCAUUGACGUUACCCGCAGAAGAAGCACCGGCUAACUCCGUG
rnacentral:rRNA from 1 species